UACAAAGGGAAUCGGUAACACAACAUUUGGCACCGAGCGCAAGAACGUACCCCAAACACACACUGCACACGUGGAACACUCAUAGAAAUUUUUUACAGUCCCACAUCGAAAUUAUACACAACAUACACACCUCCCAAGACUUAUAAAAGGGGCACAAGUUCCAAAAUGGAGGUAACUGGAACUUUCGGCAUAUUGAGCCAUUAGUCUGUCUAGAUUACUAUUUACUCCGUACUUACUUAAGCAUCGGAGAGCCUUCUGC
rnacentral:lncRNA from 1 species